UUUUAAGCCAGUGCUUUGAGUCACCUUUCAUUGAGGUUUCUUCUAUGUGAAGUGCACUGCAUGUAUUUGUAAACCUACUUGUUUUUCUCCUGUUAAUCUGUCUUUUGUUACAGGAGUCAGUCCCAACUACAAAUUUAAGAGAAUCACGGAAACACCCACAAACUUAUGAGGAUCACAGAAAACACCCCUACACCAACUUAUAGCCAAUCUAUUCAACCUGCAUUGUUAGCAGUUUCUGGUGCCCAAUGUGGGGUCAUUGAAAAACCUCACACCAGAUCUUGGGACAACUGACAAAAAAUCAACAACAACAACAACAACAACAACAAAACACAUUUUUUUUUUUUAAACCAAGGUCACCUCUCCUGGAUCUCUGCCUGUAGUGCCCAAUUAAGAAUGGAAGGUA
rnacentral:lncRNA from 1 species